GGGAAGCCGAGCUCCCGCGGAGAGGCUGCCAGCCCAGGGCUGCUGCUCAAUUUCACACAGCAGUUUGGCCAGCAGCCUGCUUGCCGCCUCGCAUCUGCUCACAGGGGUCCGGGUGCCCACAGAGCAUCCACUGAGCUAACCUCUCGCUUCUGUAUGGGAAAUCUGCAAGAAACUAUUCAUUACAGCUACCCACACACACCACACCCUGCUUCUUUACAGACACCUAUCCAUUAACAAAAAUAACAAUAAAAAAGCCCCCUAGGGAAAUGUACUUCUGAGAACCUGUUUUGCUAACACGCUGUCACUGUGAGACAUACAUAAUUAACAAAAGCUAUGCCGUGGCAGGUUUUUUUUACUAUUACACGUUCGUUCAGAGGCAGCAUCUUAUUUAUGAAAGCAGGUACUUAGUAAAACAUUAAUUGUGAAGUUGAGGAUUGCAGGCUACUGCCCUUUUCCUAGGCAGCUGACAGUAUGUGCCCUGGCAAUCCCUUUUACAACCCUCUCACACUGCUUUUGGAACAGCAUAAUCAGCAGAGAGAUGAAGUUUUAACACAGCUGGGGCAUGUCUGGCGUUUUUUCUUUUUUUUUUUUUGUUUUUAUAAGACACAACACAGUCUCUUAGAGUUUCCAGCUACUAAGCUACAUCAAUCAUCAACAGAAAAGAGAGGGAAAAAAAAGCGUGAAGCAAAGUAUUUUCAAACUCCAAAUGUAAUGGCUCUUCAUUGUGGUGAACACCAGCACCUAAAGAAUCUUCAAACAUUUCUCCAAAGACUGCAAAACAAUCCCCUGCCACGCUUUGCUGGGUCUGUGUGUGCGAGCGUUUCCAGGACAGCUCCGCAACCCUUCCACCAAACAAUGAUGGAAAGUUCAAGUGAACUCUUAAUAAAGUCUGGUUACUUUGCAGCUUUGGGAAACUGCCAAGAUACACACUGGAAGGACUGAGUGAAAAUAAACUAGCACAAAGA